rnacentral:lncRNA from 1 species
AUGCUGCUCUGUGCACUUGGAAUAUUUUCAGUACUUGCAGGAGACUCUCUUGGUGAUCUAAUAACAUCUCAUGGUUCUGAAAAACAAGCUCAAGAUGGUAACAAUGUUACUCUCUCCUGCAACUACACUGGUACUGUUUAUAAUCUACUGUGGUAUCGUCAGUAUCAAAGAUCCAAACCAGAACUGCUUCUGUUCAUGACUGAAUCUGGAGAUCCAGUUAAAGAAGAUCCAUCAGCCGACUGGUUAUCUGCUAAAGUUGACAAACACAGAAAGCUCAUGGAACUGGAAAUCAGCCCUGCUAAAGUAUCAGACUCUGUACAGUAUUACUGUGCCCUGAAGCCCACAGUGACAGGAAACCCUUUUCCUCUGUACAUAAUCUUUCUGUAUAUAAGUCAUGCUUUUAAUUGAUGCUUAACAAACACAUACUCUACAGUAUGUAUUAUUUCUGUGAUUGAAUCAGCCAUCAGUAACACAAGCAUCUGUUAAUGAAUCCACAAGGAUCAAUACAACACAUAUUUCCAUAGACAGGCAGAGCUUAUAGAUCUUAUAGAUCAUUAAAUUCAAACCACAUACAACAAUGAUCAUCAUCAUCUGCUCUUCUUUAACAUUUGUCUUGAGUUAUGGUAAGCCACAGACUUUUGACACCUUUAAAUAAUUGUAUUAUAUUAAUGUAAAGCUUUAUGAUUUUGGUAACACUGGAUUGUUCAUCUACUUUGCAGGUUAAGCUAAUAAGAUUCCUGUCAGUUCAGAUAAAGCAUGUGUCUUUUUAAAUGAAGGCAGUAAUGCUACUCUGUCCUGUACCUUUGACGAAUCAGCUUACCGUCUCCACUGGUUUUGACAGAAGACCGGAUCAAAGUUAGAGUUUUUUGCUGCUAGUUGAUAAAUCCACCAAAUUUGUAGUGCCAGCUAGUUGACCUCUUCCGCAUCCAUUAGCAUCCAUAAUACCAAACAUGUGGAUCUGGAGAUCUCCUCUGCUGCUGUAUCAGCUAAAGUUUAAGUAUUACAAACUUCUUAUGCCUUUUCUUUAAUAUAUACUGCCGGAGACUUUGAACCACAGAUCACAUUAACUGGUUUAAAGACUAAGGUAUAAAAACUAAACAACUUUCCCAUAGGGCGGAGCUUAAUAUAAAGAUGUAGAAGCAUUUUAAUCUGAGGGAGGAUGUCAGAAUUCAAAGACAUCCAGUCUGAAUGAUACUCAAGUCUCUCAGAUUCUUCUUCAGAUUUCUGCUGUCAUGAUUAUUUUUACUCUCCUCACUUUUUUGUGGAUGUGUAUGGGUAAGAUAAAGUUGUAUUUUUUCUCUUUCCAAUUAAGACCUGCUACUUUUUACUUAUUUACUACUACUUUUUACCAGUGGUUACUGUUUGAUUUAUUAAUUAGGAUUUUACUCUCCAUUACCAGGUCACACAGAGGCAGACACAAUAAAACCCUUGUCACUGAAUGUAAAUAGACAUGUUGGUGAUGGUGUUAAUUUGUCCUGUAGCUAUAAAGACUAUACAGGUGCUGUAAAUAAUUUACAAUGGUACAGCUUACAAAAUGGAGAUAUGAGUAAAGACAGACCACCCAGAUUUACUGCUGCAGUUAAUCAAGACAACAAACAAGUGGAUCUGAAGAUCUCUCCUGCUGAAGAGACAGACUCUGCCAUGUACUACUGUGCCCUGGUGCCCACAGUGACAGGAAACCCAACUGCAUCAUACAAAAACCUCCCAUUUCAUCAUUAAAGAAAGAUGAAGCCUCAAACACUUACUUCAUCCUGUCC